CACCACUGAACAACUCUGUGUUCACAUAGUGUGUGCCAAUGAAAGUCUGUAUUUAAAAACGAGCUAGGGGCUAGUUAUUCAAGGAGCAGUGCAUUAUUGUAUUUUCAACUUCCACUUCACUGUUGAGAUAGAAGCGCAGUCCUAUUUGCCUUCAUCUUCUCCAGCCUUUUCAUUAAGUGGCUAUUGGUCAUCUCCAUCUCUUCUAUCUUAUCCAGUGCUGUUCUUAACUCUCGCUGAAGCUUCCUCUUUUCAGCUUUGAGUUCAUCUUCUACUUUCUCUGCAUUUUCUGCUGCAUUUUUAUACCUUGCAACCUGUCCUUCCAGCCUUCCAAUAUUUUGUUCCAAGGUGGUUAUAUCUUGUUCAGCUUUUGAAAGUCUAAACUUGUAUUCACUAAUUUGUCUGUUGGCAUCUCUCUGCAUUUCAAUUAGUUGCAAGUCAGAACCAUUCUCUAAGCCUACUAUAUCUGGACUCAUGCCAUCACUUUUAGAGUAUUUCUGUCUUUCUUCUUCCAAUUGCAUCUUCAGUUUUCUAACCUGGGACAGUAAUUCUUCCUUUUCUCCAGCUAAUUUUCGUAGCCGGACAUCUAGCGGUCCUUCUCCUGCGGAUUCUAAGACUUGAGCAGCUUCCUGCGAUACAACUGUUAUUGCACCAACUGCUGAUUCAUGGUUUAUAUCACCAUUUGGUGUGCCAUCUGGGAUUAUAACUAAUCCAUGUUUCUCUAUCAAUUCAUCUCUUUGUCGAAGGCCCUCUUUAAGUUCAUCCAGCUUAUGCUGUAGAACACUGCACGUGUGUUUCUGUCUUUCCAAUUCCUUCGACUUCUCUUCAUUUUCCCUGUGGUACUCUGCUAUUUGCUCUUCUUUCUCCUCAAUGACAUCCUUUAGAGUAUCUACUUGGUACACCAAGUUGUUUUUCUCAUUGUCUAGUUGAGCAUUGGAAACCAUAGCUUUCUUGUACUUCUCUUCAACUUCAGCUAGUGAAUCCUUUAGUUCUUUAAGUCCCUGCAUGUAUCUCCCCUCUACAUCGUGUAUCUGGUCCUUAAGAUCAUAGAUAUCCCGUAAUUCACUGAGCGAGGCAUCAGGAUCCAAUAAACUGCUUGUAUCUCCACUUCCUCUCCUAGAUGAGUUGCCACUCAGAGGAAUUGAAUUGCGAGACGAUGGCCUUGAAAAAAUUUCUGAAUGUGAUUUUUCACUCUUUUCUUCCAGACUAUUCAAAUCUUGGACAUCAUCUGCAUCAGAAACAAUGCUUCCCCUGCGGUUGGAGCGACUGAAAUAGUCAGCAGCAGUUUCACUUUUAUCAGAAAAAUCAGAGGACUUCAAAAAAACAUAAGGAGGUUGAAAGAAAACUGAAGAUUAUACCACAGAAUGAACAAGAUUUUUUUUUUUUAAUAUAGCAACAACUUACAUUUUCAUUGUUCCAAUUUACUCCUGCAUUUUAAGUACGAGAACUGUAAAAUACUCUUUUCUGAAUUUUUGAUACAUUAAGCGUGUCUAUAGGAAUAAUACAUGUGCCACACCAC
rnacentral:lncRNA from 1 species